CCUACGGGCGUCAGCAGUGAGGAAUAUUGGUCAAUGGGCGCGAGCCUGAACCAGCCAAGUCGCGUGAGGGAAGACGGUCCUAUGGAUUGUAAACCUCUUUUGUCGGGGAGCAAAUGACGCCACGCGUGGCGUUACGAGAGUACCCGAAGAAAAAGCAUCGGCUAACUCCGUGCCAGCAGCCGCGGUAAUACGGAGGAUGCGAGCGUUAUCCGGAUUUAUUGGGUGUAAAGGGUGAGCAGGCGGAAGAUCAAGUCAGCGGGAAAAGUGAGAGGCUCAACCUCUUCGAGCCGUUGAAACUGGUUGUCUAGAGUGAGCGAGAAGUAUGCGGAAUGCGUGGUGUAGCGGUGAAAUGCGUAGAUAUCACGCAGAACACCGAUUGCGAAGGCAGCAUACCGGCGCUCAACUGACGCUCAUGCACGAAGGUGUGGGUAUCGAACAGGAUUAGAUACCCCAGUAGUC
rnacentral:rRNA from 1 species